rfam:Aedes albopictus isolate Foshan contig43048, whole genome shotgun sequence.
CUUCCCGUGGUGUAAUUGGUAACGCGGCUGUCUAGUGAGUAGGAGUCGUGAGUUCGAGUCUCACCGAGAGAU